CUACCGAAAAAGUCUUGGAAUUGGGUCAAGAUUUUGGCUACCCCACCUUUGUCAGACGUCCCACGCAUUCCCGGGGUCGGAAUCAGCAUAGGUGAGCUGGGGCAGCCUUCCACCUCCGCCCAACCGCUGCAGUGAUUUCGGCUAAGUUUUAAUUUGGAGCAGUGUGUAUGCGUGGCGUGCGUGUGGUAUGGUAUUGGAUAUGGACAGGACCGGUAGACACGACUUGAGAGAUACUCGCUGAAACCUAAUCCUUCGGGGUAGACACGACUUAAGAGACACUCGUUGGCAGAGGUUGGAUUAAGAGGGC
rnacentral:misc_RNA from 1 species